rnacentral:misc_RNA from 1 species
UUAAGUUCAGCGGGUAUCCCUGCCUGAUCCGAGGUCAACCUUGCGAGUAGGUCUUCCGGCAGACGGGGCCCCGACUUUUGAAGCGAAAGAUUCUGCUACGCUUAAAGCCGGUGCCACGCCGCCGAGCGUUUCGAGGCGCGUCCCCAAAGAGGACGUCGCCCAACACCAAGCCAGGCUUGAGUGGUGAAAUGACGCUCGAA